CCCUUAGAUGUCCGGGGCUGCACGCGCGCUACACUGACGGAUUCAACGAGCUUACAACCUUGGCCGAAAGGUCUGGGUAAUCUCCAAAAUCCGUCGUGAUGGGGAUAGAUUAUUGCAAUUAUUAAUCUUCAACGAGGAAUGCCUAGUAAGCGCAAGUCAUCAGCUUGCGUUGAUUACGUCCCUGCCCUUUGUACACACCGCCCGUCGCUCCUACCGAUUGAAUGGUCCGGUGAAGCGUUUGGACUAUGGUUUUCUGAUGGUCCGCCGUUGGAUUACCGUGGGAAGUUCGUUAAACCUUAUCAUUUAGAGGAAGGAGAAGUCGUAACA
rnacentral:rRNA from 1 species